rnacentral:ncRNA from 1 species
CAAUUAUUACUUAAUAUACACAUGCAAGUCUCCGCACCCCUGUGAAAACGCCCUUAAAUCCCCACUAGGGAUAAGGAGCUGGUAUCAGGCACAAUAUUUAGCCCAAAACACCUAGCUAUGCCACACCCACACGGGAAUUCAGCAGUGAUUAACAUUGAAAAUAAGCGACAGCUUGACUCAGUUAAAGUAAAAAGAGCCGGCAAAUCUGGUGCCAGCCGCCGCGGUUACACCACGUGGCUCAAAUUGACCCCCCUUCGGCGUAAAGCGUGAUUAAAGUUUUUACUAAAUUAUAGCUGAACUAAAACUAAGCUGUGACACGCUUGUAUUUAGGAAAAUCAAAAACGAAAGUUACUGUAAUUAAAACAACUUGAACCCACGACAGUUGAAACACAAACUGGGAUUAGAUACCCCACUAUGCUCAACCGUAAACUUUAAAUUACACCAAUAUCGCCCGGGAACUACGAGCAAAGCUUAAAACCCAAAGGACUUGACGGUACCCCACAUCCCCCUAGAGGAGCCUGUCCUGUAAUCGACAACCCCCGUUCAACCUCACCAUUUUUAGCCUAUCAGCCUGUAUACCUCCGUCGUCAGCUUACCACGUGAGCGACCCUAAGUGAGCCUAAUGCCCACACGCCAACACGUCAGGUCAAGGUGCAGCAAAUAAAAUGGGAAGAGAUGGGCUACACUCUCUACUGUAGAAAAUACGAAAGACUAUUUAUGAAACCUAGUCAGAAGGCGGAUUUAGUAGUAAAAAGAGACAAGAGCGCUCUUUUUAACACGGCACUGGGGUGUGUACACACCGCCCGUCACCCUCUUCAAAGCUAACAGAAAGUCCAUAACACACCUAAGCACAAUAGAAGAGGCAAGUCGUAACAUGGUAAGUAUACCGGAAGGUGUGCUUGGAAACAAAAUAUAGCUUAACCAAAGCAUCUCGCUUCCACGAGAAAAUAUCUGUUAAACCCGGAUUAUUUUGAGCUAAUAAUCUAGCCCCCAAUAUCAAAUGAAACCAUUGACUUUAUAACAUAAACUAAAACAUUUUAUAAACUUAGUAAAGGCGAUUAAAAAAUUGAUAGGAGCAAUAAAAAAGGUACCGCAAGGGAAA